UACGUAGGGCGCAAGCGUUAUCCGGAAUUACUGGGCGUAAAGGGCGCGUAGGCGGCCCAGCAAGUCGGGAGUGAAAGCCCGGGGCUCAACCCCGGAAUGGCUUUCGAAACUGCUGAGCUAGAGUACAGAAGGGGCAACCGGAAUUCCCAGUGUAGCGGUGAAAUGCGUAGAUAUUGGGAAGAACACCUGAGGCGAAGGCGGGUUGCUGGGCUGAUACUGACGCUGAGGCGCGAAAGCCAGGGGAGCAAACGGG
rnacentral:rRNA from 1 species